rnacentral:rRNA from 1 species
ACCCAGACUCCUACGGGAGGCAGCAGUGGGGAAUAUUGCACAAUGGGGGAAACCCUGAUGCAGCAACGCCGCGUGAGUGAAGAAGUAUUUCGGUAUGUAAAGCUCUAUCAGCAGGGAAGAGAAUGACGGUACCUGACUAAGAAGCCCCGGCUAACUACGUGCCAGCAGCCGCGGUAAUACGUAGGGGGCGAGCGUUAUCCGGAUUUACUGGGUGUAAAGGGAGCGUAGACGGUUCUGCAAGUCUGAAGUGAAAGCCCGGGGCUUAACCGCGGAACGGCUUUGGAAACUGUGGAACUGGAGUGCUGGAGGGGCAAGCGGAAUUCCUAGUGUAGCGGUGAAAUGCGUAGAUAUUAGGAGGAACACCAGUGGCGAAGGCGGCUUGCUGGACAGUAACUGACGUUGAGGCUCGAAAGCGUGGGGAGCAAACAGGAUUAGAUACCCCCGUA